rnacentral:rRNA from 1 species
GGGAUACCACUUGGAAACAGGUGCUAAUACCGGAUAACAACAAUAGCUGCAUGGCUAUUGCUUAAAAGGCGGCGAAAGCUGUCGCUAAAGGAUGGACCCGCGGUGCAUUAGCUAGUUGGUAAGGUAAUGGCUUACCAAGGCGACGAUGCAUAGCCGAGUUGAGAGACUGAUCGGCCACAUUGGGACUGAGACACGGCCCAAACUCCUACGGGAGGCAGCAGUAGGGAAUCUUCCACAAUGGGCGAAAGCCUGAUGGAGCAACGCCGCGUGAGUGAAGAAGGUUUUCGGAUCGUAAAGCUCUGUUGUUGGUGAAGAAGGAUAGAGGUAGUAACUGGCCCCUAUUUGACGGUAAUCAACCAGAAAGUCACGGCUAACUACGUGCCAGCAGCCGCGGUAAUACGUAGGUGGCAAGCGUUGUCCGGACUUAUUGGGCGUAAAGCGAGCGCAGGCGGAAAGAUAAGUCUGAUGUGAAAGCCCCCGGCUUAACCGAGGAAUUGCAUCGGAAACUGUGUUUCUUGAGUGCAGAAGAGGAGAGUGGAACUCCAUGUGUAGCGGUGGAAUGCGUAGAUAUAUGGAAGAACACCAGUGGCGAAGGCGGCUCUCUGGUCUGUAACUGACGCUGAGGCUCGAAAGCAUGGGUAGCGAACAGGAUUAGAUACCCUGGUAGUCCAUGCCGUAAACGAUG